GAUGAAGAACGCAGCAAAAUGCGAUAAGUAAUGUGAAUUGCAGAAUUCAGUGAAUCAUCGAAUCUUUGAACGCACAUUGCGCCCCCUGGUAUUCCGGGGGGCAUGCCUGUCCGAGCGUCAUUACAACCCUCAAGCUCAGCUUGGUGUUGGGCCCCGCCGCCCCGGCGGGCCCUAAAGUCAGUGGCGGUGCCGUCCGGCUCCGAGCGUAGUAAUUCUUCUCGCUCUGGAGGUCCGGUCGUGUGCUCGCCAGCAACCCCCAAUUUUUUUCAGGUUGACCUCGGAUCAGGUAGGGAUACCCGCUGAACUUAAGCAUAUCAAUAAGCGGAGGA
rnacentral:misc_RNA from 1 species